rnacentral:rRNA from 1 species
CCAGCAGCUGCGGUAAUUCCAGCUCCAAUAGCGUAUAUUAAAGUUGUUGCAGUUAAAAAGCUCGUAGUCGGACUUUCGGGGUCGAGGUCGCGAUCCGGCGGGAGCUGUGUAUUGCGGCUUUGGCCUCUACUCUCAGACGGCUCGGUCUGCUCUUAAGUGAGUGGGUCGCGGUCGCUGGGUCGUUUACUUUGAAAAAAUUAGAGUGUUUAAAGCAGGCGUUUGCCCUGAAUAUAUUAGCAUGGGAUAAUAGAAUAGGACCCCUUUCCUAUUUGUUGGUUUCGAGGACUGGGGUAAUGAUUAAUAGGGACCGUUGGGGGUGUUCAUAUUUAAUUGUCAGAGGUGAAAUUCUU